rnacentral:rRNA from 1 species
UACGGGGGGAGCAAGCGUUGUUCGGAUUUACUGGGCGUAAAGCGUGCGCAGGCGGCUUUGCAAGACAGAUGUGAAAUCCCCGGGCUUAACCUGGGAACUGCAUUUGUGACUGCAUCGCUGGAGUGCGGCAGAGGGGGAUGGAAUUCCGCGUGUAGCAGGUGAAAUGCGUAGAUAUGCGGAGGAACACCGAUGGCGAAGGCAAUCCCCUGGGCCGCACUGACGCUCAUGCACGAAAGCGUGGGGAGCAAACAGG